rnacentral:rRNA from 1 species
UACGAAGGGUGCAAGCGUUAAUCGGAAUUACUGGGCGUAAAGGGUGCGUAGGCGGCCCGUUAAGUUCGAUGUGAAAGCCCCGGGCUCAACCUGGGAAUGGCAUCGAAGACUGGCAGGCUGGAGUGCGGUAGAGGGUGGUGGAAUUCCCGGUGUAGCGGUGAAAUGCGUAGAGAUCGGGAGGAACAUCUGUGGCGAAGGCGGCCACCUGGACCAGCACUGACGCUGAGGCACGAAAGCGUGGGGAGCAAAC